rnacentral:rRNA from 1 species
GCCGUGGCUUUCUCAUGAGGUACCAUCACUUUCUUUUUCCCUCAUAACAGAAGUUUACAAUCCGAAGACCUUCAUCCUUCACGCGGCGUUGCUGGAUCAGGCUUUCGCCCAUUGUCCAAUAUUCCCC